GAAAAGGAUCUUGUGAGAUCCACCUACAGAUAUGAACAGGAAAUGG
rfam:Heterocephalus glaber contig70573, whole genome shotgun sequence.